UACGUAGGGGGCAAGCGUUGUCCGGAAUCAUUGGGCGUAAAGCGCGUGUAGGCGGCUUGGUAAGUCCGCUCUGAAAGCCCGGGGCUCAACCCCGGGAGGCGGGUGGAUACUGUCAAGCUCGAGUCCGGAAGAGGCGAGUGGAAUUCCCAGUGUAGCGGUGAAAUGCGUAGAUAUUGGGAAGAACACCUGAGGCGAAGGCGGGUUGCUGGGCCGACACUGACGCUGAGGCGCGAAAGCCAGGGGAGCAAACGGG
rnacentral:rRNA from 1 species